rnacentral:tRNA from 1 species
CGGAGAGUAGUUUAGUGGUAGAAUGAGCGGCUGGGGGCCGUUCGGCCCGAGUUCGAUUCUCGGCUCUCCGA